rnacentral:rRNA from 1 species
GGGCCCGCACAAGCGGUGGAUUAUGUGGAUUAAUUCGAUGCAACGCGAAAAACCUUACCUGGCCUUGACAUGUACCGAAUUUAGCAGAGAUGCUUUAGUGCUCGUAAGAGAACGGUAACACAGGUGCUGCAUGGCUGUCGUCAGCUCGUGUCGUGAGAUGUUGGGUUAAGUCCCGCAACGAGCGCAACCCUUGCCAUUAAUUGCCAUCAUUUAGUUGGGCACUUUAAUGGGACUGCCGGUGACAAACCGGAGGAAGGUGGGGAUGACGUCAAGUCCUCAUGGCCCUUAUGGCCAGGGCUUCACACGUAAUACAAUGGAUGGUACAGAGGGACGCCAACCCGCGAGGGGGAGCCAAUCCCAGAAAGCCAUUCGUAGUCCGGAUUGUUGUCUGCAACUCGACAACAUGAAGUCGGAAUCGCUAGUAAUCGCGGAU